CGCUCUGUGCGCGUUGGCUCGAGAAAGUGCGACUCAUAACUUAUCCUACAUACAAAAAAAAAAAAAAAAACUUGCAACAUGGUUAAUUGGUUAUUAUAUCCCAAAUGAGUUCCCCGACCCAAAGAACAUCGACAACGUGACUUGUGUCGUCUGGAUCCUCAUAUGACCUCAUCGCGGCUGUUAUGAACGCAGACGCGAACGCCUCCGGAUUCUUGAUGAUGCAGGAGCAGAGCCCUAGUUAGUAUCAUCAACAAGAUCAUGCGUGACACGUUUUGUCGUCUUCAACAAGUGUUGCCAUUUCAACAGCCACAACUCCAGAUC